rnacentral:rRNA from 1 species
AUAAACGCUGGCGGCGUGCCUAACACAUGCAAGUCGAACGCUCUCGGGCAACCGAGGGAGUGGCGGACGGGUGAGUAACACGUGGGGAUCUACCCAGAGGUGAGGAAUACCGGCGAGAAAUCGCCGACAACACCGCAUGGGCUCGUUUACGCGAGCAAAACUCUUCGGAGUGCCUUUGGAUGACCCUGCGGCUGAUUAGCUGGUUGGUGGGGUAACGGCCUACCAAGGCGACGAUCAGUAGCUGGUCUGAGAGGACGAUCAGCCACACUGGGAUUGAGAACGGCCCAGACUCCUACGGGGGGCAGCAGUGAGGAAUAUUCGUCAAUGGGGGAAACCCUGAACGAGCAACGCCGCGUGCAGGAAGAAGGUUUUCGGAUCGUAAACUGCUUUUCUCGGGGAAGAGAACGGACGGUACCCGAGGAAGAAGCCCCGGCUAACUACGUGCCAGCAGCCGCGGUAAUACGUAGGGGGCGAGCGUUGUCCGGAUUUACUGGGCGUAAAGGGCACGCAGGCGGUCCUGUCAGUUUCUGGUGACAGGUCAGAGCUCAACUCUGGCAGGUCUAGAAAGACGGCAGGACUUGAGGACUUCAGAGGGACGCGGAAUUCCAGGUGGAGCGGUGAAAUGCGUAGAGAUCUGGAAGAACACCAAAGGCGAAGGCAGCGUUCUGGGAAGUCACUGACGCUCAGGUGCGAAAGCUAGGGGAGCGAACGGGAUUAGAUACCCCGGUAGUCCUAGCUGUAAACGAUGACCACUAGACGUGGGAGGUAUCGACCCCUUCCGUGUCGCAGCUAACGCCAGAAGUGGUCCGCCUGGGGAGUACGGUCGCAAGAUUAAAACUCAAAGGAAUUGACGGGGACCCGCACAAGCAGCGGAGCGUGUGGUUUAAUUCGAUGCAACGCGAACAACCUUACCAAGGCUUGACAUGGACCUGAAGUCACCGUAAUGGGUGAUGCCCUUCGGGGCAGGUUCACAGGUGCUGCAUGGCUGUCGUCAGCUCGUGUCGUGAGAUGUUGGGUUAAGUCCCGCAACGAGCGCAACCCCUAUCGUUAGUUGAAUGGUCUAGCGAGACUGCCACGCAAAACGUGGAGGAAGGUGGGGAUGACGUCAAGUCAGCACGGCCCUGACGCCUUGGGCGACACACACGCUACAAUGGUCGGUACAAAGGGAAGCCAACCCGCGAGGGGGAGCCAAGCCCAUCAAAGCCGGUCUCAGUUCAGAUUGCAGGCUGAAACCCGCCUGCAUGAAGUCGGAGUUGCUAGUAACCGUGGGUCAGCACACCACGGUGAAUACGUUCCCGGGUCUUGUACACACCGCCCGUCACACCACGAAAGUCGGCAACCCCUGAAGCCGCUGAGCUAACCGGAAGGAGGCAAGCGUCGAGGGUGGGGUCGGUGAUUGGGGUG